rnacentral:rRNA from 1 species
CUUAGCGACCAUAGCGUUUUGGACCCACCUGAUUCCAUGCCGAACUCAGAAGUGAAACGAAAUAGCGUCGAUGGUAGUGUGGGGCUUCCCCAUGUGAGAGUAGAACAUCGCUAGGC